rnacentral:rRNA from 1 species
GACGAACGCUGGCUGCGUGCUUAACACAUGCAAGUCGAACGCUGAAGCCCGAAGCUUGCUUCGGGUGGAUGAGUGGCGAACGGGUGAGUAACACGUGAGUAACCUGCCCCUGAUUUCGGGAUAAGCCUGGGAAACCGGGUCUAAUACCGGAUACGACCAACCCUCGCAUGAGGGUUGGUGGAAAGUUUUUCGAUCGGGGAUGGGCUCGCGGCCUAUCAGCUUGUUGGUGGGGUAAUGGCCUACCAAGGCGACGACGGGUAGCCGGCCUGAGAGGGCGACCGGCCACACUGGGACUGAGACACGGCCCAGACUCCUACGGGAGGCAGCAGUGGGGAAUAUUGCACAAUGGGGGAAACCCUGAUGCAGCGACGCAGCGUGCGGGAUGACGGCCUUCGGGUUGUAAACCGCUUUCAGCAGGGAAGAAGCGAAAGUGACGGUACCUGCAGAAGAAGUACCGGCUAACUACGUGCCAGCCGCCGCUGUAA